rnacentral:tRNA from 1 species
UGGCUCGUCGAUAACUGGCAUCACGUCGCGUAUCCCCCAGCCUUCACACGGCGGAGGUCCUGAGUUCGAAUCUCAGCGGGCCCA